UAGGGAAUCUUCGGCAAUGGACGAAAGUCUGACCGAGCAACGCCGCGUGAGUGAAGAAGGUUUUCGGAUCGUAAAACUCUGUUGUUAGAGAAGAACAAGGACGUUAGUAACUGAACGUCCCCUGACGGUAUCUAACCAGAAAGCCACGGCUAACUACGUGCCAGCAGCCGCGGUAAUACGUAGGUGGCAAGCGUUGUCCGGAUUUAUUGGGCGUAAAGCGAGCGCAGGCGGUUUCUUAAGUCUGAUGUGAAAGCCCCCGGCUCAACCGGGGAGGGUCUUGGAAACUGGGAGACUUGAGUGCAGAAGAGGAGAGUGGAAUUCCAUGUGUAGCGGUGAAAUGCGUAGAUAUAUGGAGGAACACCAGUGGCGAAGGCGGCUCUCUGGUCUGUAACUGACGCUGAGGCUCGAAAGCGUGGGGAGCAAACAGG
rnacentral:rRNA from 1 species